rnacentral:sRNA from 1 species
UUGGGAUGGAUUGCGUGAGUUUUACGC